rnacentral:rRNA from 1 species
UAGGGAAUCUUCCACAAUGGGCGCAAGCCUGAUGGAGCAACACCGCGUGAGUGAAGAAGGGUUUCGGCUCGUAAAACUCUGUUGUUGAAGAAGAACGUGCGUGAGAGUAACUGUUCACGCAGUGACGGUAUUCAACCAGAAAGUCACGGCUAACUACGUGCCAGCAGCCGCGGUAAUACGUAGGUGGCAAGCGUUAUCCGGAUUUAUUGGGCGUAAAGCGAGCGCAGGCGGUUUUCUAAGUCUGAUGUGAAAGCCUUCGGCUUAACCGGAGAAGUGCAUCGGAAACUGGAUAACUUGAGUGCAAGAGAGGACAGUGGAACUCCAUGUGUAGCGGUGGAAUGCG